GUACUCACUUCGGCAGCACAUAUACUAAAAUUGGAAUGAUACAGAGAAGAUUAGCAUGGCCCCUGUACAAGGAUGACACGCGACAGCCUUGGCCUGGUGCCCUCUGGA
rnacentral:snRNA from 1 species